rnacentral:rRNA from 1 species
UACGUAGGGGGCUAGCGUUGUCCGGAAUCAUUGGGCGUAAAGAGCGUGUAGGCGGCCCGGUAAGUCCGCUGUGAAAGUCGGGGGCUCAACCCUCGAAUGCCGGUGGAUACUGUCGGGCUAGAGUGCGGAAGAGGCGAGUGGAAUUCCUGGUGUAGCGGUGAAAUGCGCAGAUAUCAGGAGGAACACCGAUUGCGAAGGCAGCUCGCUGGAACGUUACUGACGCUGAGACGCGAAAGCGUGGGGAGCAAACGGG